rnacentral:rRNA from 1 species
GAUGAACGCUAGCGGCAGGCCUAAUACAUGCAAGCUGAACGGCAAUCCCGCCAGCAAUGGCGGGACUAGAGUAGCGUAAGGGUGCGUAACACGUAUGCAAUCUGCCCCUCAACAGGAGGAUAGCUCCCCGAAAGGGAAUUAAGACUCCAUAAUAUCAUUUAAUGGCAUCAUUGGAUGAUUAAACUACCAGGGGUUGAGGAUGAGCAUGCGCAU